CCGCCCCCUCCCUCCCUCGCCUGUCGCCCUCGGCCCUCCUCCCCAUCCGCGCCGCCGCCCGACUCCCCAUUCCGCGGCCGUUCCGGCGCCGUGCCCGACUCCGCCCCCGCCCGCGGCCGCUCAUGCCUCUCUCCUCCGCCCCUGCUUACCUGCCUCCUCCGCCGCCACGCCCCUCCUCCGCCGCCACGCCCCUCCUCCGCCGCCACGCCCCUGCGCACCUGCCCCCUCCGCCGCCCCUGCGCAUCUGCCUCAUCUGCCCUCAAGGGCCACGACCGAAAACGGUGGCGAGAGCCGGCGGAUCCAGCUGCUGCGGAGAGGAAGGGGCGGAUCCAGCCGGGGUUGGGACUGCUGGUCCCUGCCCGCUCGUCAGCCCUGCCUCCGCAUCAAGGAUGCUCAACGUUGGGCCCCCGUGGUCGCGCCGUCCCCGACUCGCCCGACGGUUCCCAGCCGUGCCCGGCCGUCUCAGCACCAAUUCUUUCUGCCGGUAACCUCCUCCUUUUUCUCUCCACGGCCUCCUCCAAUCUUCACUGUAUACCAGGUGCCGUCCGUCUCCCUUCUUGCCACCUUAUAAACUUGCUUCUCACCACCUCUCACUGAUGCAUACCAGGUGCUUGAUGGAAUUACCCAUAAAAUAACUACUCUUUGCAUUGAUCUACUGCCAGGUUUCAGGGCACAGUUUUUUCAAGAAUUGAAGGGAUCAUAAUCUCCCUACAAUAUCUCAAAAAGUAUGGUUGGAUGCGGAGAUUCAGGUAGGAAGACACUUUAGUUGUUUUGGAUUGUUUUCACUUUAGGGGGCAAUGGAUGGUGAUUCGCAAUUUACUUCUGUUCAACUAAUUUUCUUGUCUUAGUAAAUAUUGUAGUGUUCCUGUACUGUUGAAGAAUCUAGAUCAUCGUGAAUUAGCUCUCCUGUGCAGCUUUCACAUAUCAGUUAUCACAUUGACCGAAGAAGCAUGUGUUCUAUCAUUUUUUAACCUGCAAAAGGAAAACUUCUGCAACUGUAAUCCAAAGUAACCUGAAUCUGCACAUCGAAUGGUUGUUUCCUUCUUGAUAUCUGUAAAAAACACAUGCAGGUCUGAUUGUUUCCUUUUUGAUGAAAUUCCCCAUCCCUUGGCAGUUGAUGUAUGAGCUGCUACCUAACAAGUGGGUGUAGGCUGAGAACGUGCUAUUUGGUGCACGUGUUGCAAUUAGCUUGUUGCUUGGUAUUUGUAUGCCCGGGUAGGGUCUUGCUCGGCGAGGCAUGUAGCAAACAACUUCUUUUCGUGUUGUACUUUUGGGUUGGCAUUCCUGUGUAACCGCACAGCUAAUAUUAGAUGUUGUUCCCAGAUCCUGGAUAUGCAAUGUACAAUAUGAUAUUCUGUUGGCUUGUUGGACUAUGAAGUUGUUUCUUAUAUAUUCAGCUAUCUGCUACAAUUCUUGUCGGUGUCAUUGUGAUUCCAGCAUUAGGUCCAAGUACUAAUUUCUUUUCAUUUCAUCUAACAGAUCAAUUUAACUUGGGAGACCAUUCCGAUAAGUACAGUAGCUAGAUUUAAUGGUAUUUUCCUUAGCUGCAUUUUUUGUUCUGUUCAUGUAUCGUCAUCUGACUACUCUUCAAUUGCAGAGGCUUUAUGAGAAUUUUCACAAAGAAGCACCUGCUGAUCUACUAGCCCAUCUAGGAAGUUUGGAUGCCUGUUCUAAUCAGUGUUUUUAUAACAGUUCAAUGUAUUUCAUGGAGGUUUCUAUGUUGACAUGAAAAUAAAUUUGCCUAAAGGCAAAACAUUCCUGGCAUCUUUCCCGUGGGAUUUGGCUCUCACAAAAACAAUCUUGGAGACCUGACGGCAGAAUAUAUUUCAUGGAGGUCGAUGCUGUGCAUUACCGCCACAAAAGAAGGUCAUGGCGGUUGCCUCUCAUGAAAAUGGCAUUUUCGUGAAGUCCAAUUUGUGAGAGCAUUUUCAUAGCAGUUAUAUCAUGUCCACUUGUACACAAAUGGGACUGUAUGCGAUCUCACAGACAUUCCCUGUGAGACUAAGGUUAGAUUUGUCUGAACCCACUGUCCUAAUCAGUUCGAUCAAGGAGAUCUCUUCCUGCAAAUAUGUUGUAACAAUUCAAAGCCCGAUGCUGUGCCAAACAAUACCUUGUCAAUAAAAUCCAGAUUUUUUUCAACUCAACAUGAAGUGGGGUACUGAUGCUUUUGAUGUUGUAGUGUCUUAGCCAAGGAAAAUGUGUGAAAUCAGUUACUUUUUAGCUGGUGUACGGACCUUGUACAAUACUUCAAGGAAUCGGAUAAAUUCUUGAUAAAAUAAAGCUGUUGUAUGGUGUAUUCAGUUACUUCA